CAUGGAUAAAAGAUUGAUGUAACAGUAAGGUAUGCAACAUGUAAAGAACUAAAGCAAGCAUGAUAUUUUCUACACGGUCGUCAUAUAUGAACUCUUACUGCUAAAACGAAGGUUUGUGAAAUGUAAAGAACUAAAAGAAGC